UACGAAGGGGGCUAGCGUUGUUCGGAAUUACUGGGCGUAAAGCGUGCGUAGACGGUUAUGUAAGUCGGGUGUGAAAGCCCCGGGCUCAACCUGGGAAUUGCAUUCGAGACUGCAUAGCUAGGGUGCGGAAGAGGGAAGCGGAAUUUCCGGUGUAGCGGUGAAAUGCGUAGAUAUCGGAAGGAACACCAGUGGCGAAAGCGGCUUCCUGGUCCAGCACCGACGUUCAGGCACGAAAGCGUGGGGAGCAAACAGG
rnacentral:rRNA from 1 species